GACGGGCUGUACAAAGUCAAAGUUGACAAAUUCAAGCUGCCAAGAUAAUUAUCUCUAAAGUGACUAAAUAACAGAUGCCCAAGCAGUUGAGCUGUGGAUGUGACACUGGAGAAGAUACCAUGAAGAUUACAGACCAUAUUUUGGGCAAAAAGCAAGCGCAUCUGCACCAGUGAGCGAGGCUGGCAUGGACUUUCGAAAUUUGAUGUUGCCCCCUGUUGGAGACAAGGAUUCUCCAGCAGCAGCAGAAGAGCGGUGUGUGUGAAGAGCUCAGCAGAGGAAGUAACCCACAGCACACCACCAUUCAGAACCAUCGUCAGCUGUAUUUGUGUACUUACAGGGGUGAGUAAUGAGUACAGUCUACUGAACUAAUUUGUCAUUGCUGAUAGUUGUCAAAAGUAUAUUGAAA
rnacentral:lncRNA from 1 species